UACGUAUGGUGCAAGCGUUAUCCGGAUUUACUGGGUGUAAAGGGAGCGUAGGCGGCGCGUUAAGUCUGAUGUGAAGACCCGAGGCUCAACCACGGGAGUGCAUUGGAAACUGGCGAGCUGGAGUGCCGGAGAGGUAAGCGGAAUUCCUAGUGUAGCGGUGAAAUGCGUAGAUAUUAGGAGGAACACCAGUGGCGAAGGCGGCUUACUGGACGGCAACUGAGGCUGAGGCUCGAAAGCGUGGGGAGCAAACAGG
rnacentral:rRNA from 1 species